GAUGAACGCUGGCGGCGUGCCUAAUACAUGCAAGUCGAGCGAACAGACGAGGAGCUUGCUCCUCUGACGUUAGCGGCGGACGGGUGAGUAACACGUGGAUAACCUACCUAUAAGACUGGGAUAACUUCGGGAAACCGGAGCUAAUACCGGAUAAUAUAUUGAACCGCAUGGUUCAAUAGUGAAAGACGGUUUUGCUGUCACUUAUAGAUGGAUCCGCGCCGUAUUAGCUAGUUGGUAAGGUAACGGCUUACCAAGGCAACGAUGCGUAGCCGACCUGGGAGGGUGAUCGGCCACCCUGGAACUGAGACACGGGCCAGACUCCUACGGGAGGCAGCAGUAGGGAAUUUUUCGCAAUGGGCGAAAGCCUGACGGAGCAACGCCGCGUGAGUGAUGAAGGUCUUCGGAUCGUAAAACUCUGUUAUUAGGGAAGAACAAAUGUGUAAGUAACUAUGCACGUCUUGACGGUACCUAAUCAGAAAGCCACGGCUAACUACGUG
rnacentral:rRNA from 1 species